rnacentral:rRNA from 1 species
AACGAACGCUGGCGGCAUGCCUAACACAUGCAAGUCGAACGAGACCUUCGGGUCUAGUGGCGCACGGGUGCGUAACGCGUGGGAACCUGCCCUUAGGUUCGGAAUAACUCCCCGAAAGGGGUGCUAAUACCGGAUAAUGUCUUCGGACCAAAGGUUUAUCGCCUUUGGAUGGGCCCGCGUUGGAUUAGCUAGUUGGUAGGGUAAUAGCCUACCAAGGCGACGAUCCAUAGCUGGUCUGAGAGGAUGAUCAGCCACACUGGGACUGAGACACGGCCCAGACUCCUACGGGAGGCAGCAGUGGGGAAUAUUGGAAAAUGGGCGAAAGCCUGAUCCAGCAAUGCCGCGUGAGUGAUGAAGGCCUUAGGGUUGUAAAGCUCUUUUACCCGGGAUGAUAAUGACAGUACCGGGAGAAUAAGCUCCGGCUAACUCCGUG